GCCAAAUAAGGGUUCCAUCCUGUCAGGUAGACAGUAUCACAGCCGUGAGACACCUGGUCAGUGGAAUUUUCCACUACAACCGUUUGGUGACCAACACAUAGAGAAAGCACAAAACAAGAGGCGGAACUAACAUCGUCAACAACAACUCGAGCGAUAAGAAAAGUAGAAGGAGAGAUUGAUCAGCAUUAUUCUUCUGAACUGUAUAUAAAGGGGAAGUCUUCCUCUGCCCCAACAGGAUUCCAACGUCUCACAGACGAAGGCUUCCACCAUCUCAGUGAAGAAGGACUUUUUACUCCGUCCCUCAUCUCUUCCUCAUCUCUUCCUCUAUACAUCAGUGUCCUUCUCUGCUGCAAACAUGAGGAACCUGAUCUCUGUGGCUGUGAUCGUUACUGUGGCAUUCACAGUAGCAGGCCUGAAACUCAGAGGAAAAGAAGUGCAGUUUGGAGACAUAAUUGCUUUUUCACCUACGUGUAAACCGGGUGUUACAUAUCAGCAUUAUGCUGUUUAUGUGGGCGACAGAUUUCCUGGCCAAGGCGACAUAUUUGAACGCACAAGUACGUGCACCUACAAACUAUGUCCUUCAUUGAAAGCAGCAAUACAACUCCCUCAGAUGUGAAACCAUUUAUCACCACACUGAAAAACCCUGUGAGAAAAAUUGAAUGAAAGUUCCUCUGUCUUGUUCACAUAAAGCUCUGAGUUAUAAUGAGAAUAAUUACCACCACUCAAAGUUUAAACAGAAACACUGUUGGUAGAUCAGCAGAAGUUAGAACAACAUGUUGUUUUUAUGAUAAUCUUUUCCUUUAUUAGGGCCAUGUUGAAGAAAAACACAUCUGAGAUUCUGAGAGAAGUCGUAAUAUUACAAGAAAACAUUUAAAGUUUAGUAAUAAUAAAUAAAGUAAUAAUUUUAGGCUACGUGUCACGUUACAUCCCAGAAGCUCUGUCUCCUGUGUUAAAAUGAGGAAUGUGCAGCAUCUUGUUUAGUUAAACUUUAGAAUAAGUUUCAUGAAUAUCAAAAUCCUUGAUGUUUUGUCUCAUCUCAUCCUUUAGACAUGGAAAAUAUCAUUGCAAACUAUUGGCUUGUUAGCAUUGUCUCUGUGAACAUCUUAGCAUGCUAACACUAGCAUAUGACGUCAACCAAAUGCCGCGUUCCAUUACACCGCGGAGCUCCGAAUUGGAAGUUGCAACCGGAACGCCCUCUCAAGUUCGAAUGCCGACUUGGACUUUGAAAUCCAAGAUGGCCACUCCGUGUAUCAACAGCUAAAGUUGUUACUGUUUAUAAUCACUUCUCUCAUUAGAUUUGUCGUACACAUAGUACUGUCCAAUUACGUUCUGCGGACGUGUUACUACGUCGUUGGUAUGCGUGAAAUGUGACGUCAUUCCGAGGUGUAACUGAUUAUAGUCUAUGGCUCAAACCAAUGUUUAGCAUCAUAGAGCUGCUAGCGUGGCUGCAGGCUACAAGAGCAGAUAG